rnacentral:rRNA from 1 species
GCCAGCAGCCAUAUCACCCUAUAACUGGCAACCCACUGCUGCUAAGCAGGUGUGAGCCUGGUCAGUACCUGGAUGGGAGACCUCCUGGGGAAAACUAAGGUUGCUGCUGGAA